UUAAUUAUAGCUAUAAAAGCAAAAUCACUGUUAAUGAUUAGAAAAGAAAAUUUAACUUUAAUUAAG
rnacentral:tRNA from 1 species